UAUCUCUAUAACUCAUCCCUGAAUUUUUAGACUUUAUUUAUUAAUUCAAGUGGAUUAACCAUUUUUUUGUUACAGGCAUGAAUACUUUUAUAGACAAUCGGCACUAAUAAUAAGGUAAAUUCCGCAAGUCAAUUUGUGUGCAUUCUCCGUGCCGUCCGCCUGUUUCCAAUCUAUGUGCACCUACUGUACUAUGAAUCUAUUUAAAGAAUAUGUUUUAUUCAACGACCGAUAAAUACUAAUUGAUGGGAAUACCUAUCAAUCACUUGCAAACAAAAUCAAAACAAUUGUGAAAAAAGUCAAACUCACAAAUAAACGCUUAUCGAAAUACCAAGAAUCCUUAGUUGAUUACGCAGUGUGAUCUAUAUGUAGUUUUCAUGGAAUUAACUAAUAAAUAUUCAAUCAAACGAUACCAAAUAAAAGAAAACAGAAAUAAGAAAAUAAUCGCGAUUUGUAUUUAAAUACGUGUUACCUCAACAUCGCAUCCAUUAGUGUGUCCCAUACAUACUUUGUUGUUACUUUUAAAUAUUUAAUUUCGUUUUGAAAAAUAUUUUGGUGUAAAAUAACUUAAGCUAUCCAAAAUGCGUAGAUCGUUUAUAUUGUUAUUUAGCGUGUAUGUUUGCUGUGUUUUGUUUGUUAAUGGAGAAGCCAAAAAUUUACCACUUACCUCAACUAAAUUGGGUGUUAUCAAAGGAAAUUAUCUGGAGAGCCGAUUAAAAAGGACUAUUUACGCUUACAGAGGAAUACGGUACGCAGAAGCUCCCGUGGGAAACCUACGUUUCCAGCCCCCCGUUCCAGUCAAAUCCUGGGACACAAUAUACGAUGCAACAAAGGACGGUGCUGCCUGUCCACAACCAGGAUUUCAGCCGACGUCCGAAGAUUGUCUUUUUUUAAACGUUUACACAACAGUGUCUCCCGAAAAUAUUCAACAGGACAACGUUACCCGGCCCGUAAUUGUUUACAUCCAUGCUGGAGGAUUUUAUAGCGUUACUGGCAGGAGCGAUUGGGCAGGUCCUGAAUAUAUGCUGGAUCAGGAUGUAGUGUUUGUGACAUUAAACUACAGACUUGGAGCUCUAGGUUUUAUCAGCACAGGUGAUAAAUUCGCUCCGGGCAAUCUCGGUCUUAAGGACCAAGUUUUAGCGUUGAAAUGGGUUAAAGAUAACGUAAUUUAUUUCGGAGGAGAUCCAAACUGUGUAACUCUGUACGGGUACAGCAUGGGAAGUGCUAGCAUUUCAUUACAUCUAAUUUCACCAAUGUCCAGAGGAUUAUUCCACAGAGCAAUAUUAUCCAGUGGUUCUGAGUAUGGAAAUUGGCCUAUUCCAAGACAUCAAUUCAAUUUAGCACAGAAGCAAGCUAGACUUGUGGGUUGUCCUGAUGAUAGUUCCCAAAAUAUUAUUUCCUGUCUGAAAAAUAUAUCAGCCGAAAGCCUUGGAAAUUCCUUUUUUGGCUUUAAGGUUCUUUACAUAUUUAAUAAAACUAUAUCAAUGCUUCAAAUAUAGAAAAUACUACAAAUGGCGCAGUAAACGCCAUCUGUAGCACGAUGCUAUAUUUUAGGAUUACGUAUGCUGGAGUAGAGGUAGUAGGGUAGAGUAGGAUGUUCUAAUUAGUCCAGGAUAGGAAGGAGUGGAGAAACCCUAAUUCAGGCAACUUAAC
rnacentral:misc_RNA from 1 species